ACGAACGCUGGCGGCAGGCCUAACACAUGCAAGUCGAGCGAGGACUUCGGUUCUAGCGGCGGACGGGUGAGUAACGCGUGGGAAUGUGCCCUUCUCUACGGAAUAGCCCUGGGAAACUGGGAGUAAUACCGUAUACGCCCUUUUGGGGAAAGAUUUAUCGGAGAAGGAUCAGCCCGCGUUGGAUUAGGUAGUUGGUGGGGUAAUGGCCUACCAAGCCGACGAUCCAUAGCUGGUUUGAGAGGAUGAUCAGCCACACUGGGACUGAGACACGGCCCAGACUCCUACGGGAGGCAGCAGUGGGGAAUCUUAGACAAUGGGGGCAACCCUGAUCUAGCCAUGCCGCGUGAGUGAUGAAGGCCUUAGGGUUGUAAAGCUCUUUCAGCUGGGAAGAUAAUGACGGUACCAGCACAAGAAGCCCCGGCUAACUCCGUG
rnacentral:rRNA from 1 species